CUCGUGACCCGUAGUUUCGGUUGCCCACGUGACUAUCUUUGUUGCGCAAAGUAGCAUCAAUGCGUUAGCAGUGCGAGCUAAUAUAUUUAAACCGCUGGAUCCAUAGUCAUUCCAGGAGAAGCGAAUCUAUCCACAGGAGUCUGCAGUUGCGUGCAACACCUGCUCCACUCUCUUUCUCAGUGGGACUCUGGAACUGCCAGUCAGCUGUGAACAAAGCUGACUUCAUUCAAGCCUUCGCCACACAGUCCACCCUCAGUAUCCUGGCACUAACAGAAACAUGGAUACGUCCAGAGGAUACAGCAACACCUGCUGUUCUCUCCAACAACAACAACAACAACUCCUCUCACAUCCCUCGAUCCACAGGUUUGACCGGUUUCAUUUCACUUGGAAAGACUAAGCACUACAGCAACUCACAGAUUGGGCAACCAGCUGGACCUCAUUUUUACAGGUUCUUGGACUAUUUGAAGACAAGACUGGAUCUGGAGCAGACAAACCCACAGCUCCGUAACAAAUGACAGACUUACAAGGAGAUGCUGGAAACCCCGCGCAAGCCUGGUUCAAAGUCCAACUCACAGGCAGUGUGCGAAAGAAAGCCUUUGUUGUUCAUUUUAUUUUGUCCUUUUAUUACUAAUGUUAUUGUUGUUUACUACUACAGUCCUGAGUGUGGUGUUUUUAAUAACCUGUCUCUCUUUUUCUCUAUUUUUUGUUUAAUCUAUGUACGAUUGAUUUGUUGAGGGCUCACGCAGCAUCAAGAGAGUGCCGGGAGAUUUUGCGGGUUGCGAAGGCAGACUUCCUAAACAUCUUUGUGCAGUUAAUCUCAGGUGCCGAGGUGGACAAUAUUGACAAGACGACGUCACUACUGUGAAGCAAUCGUGGUCUUCUGUCAUUUUCAGUGCCCAGGAGCUGUGGAAGGCUUGACUGUCUCAGAGAUGGUGAACAGGAAGGCAUCUAAUGGCAGGCUAGUGGCUGGCAUCAGCAAACGCAAAACGGCGACCAUGCAGAUCGUUGCAUUUGCCUUGACGCAGGAGGAGGAAGCUUGAUUUCGGGUGUACUAUGAGAGAAUUCGGCCUGGAUACAACAGUGGUACUACUGACAGGCCAGCACGUACUACUCCACCCAGACCCUGGCUCUCUGACGUCCUUCGUGAACAUUGGACUGACCUCAGGGCAGCUGAGAGGAGACGGCGUAAAUCUAAAGAUCCAGCAUAUCGACACUUUUCCCAUGACAUUUAAGCAAGCUCGUGUAACUCCGCUGCUGCAGAAACCUGCACUUAACCCCACACAAAUAGAACACUACAGACCAGUCACGGCAAAAACACUUGAAAGGGCAGUUUUCAAUCAAAUCUCUGCCUAUCUCUCACAGAACAAGCUGCUGGAUGACAAUCAGUCAGGCUUCAAAAGUGGACACUCCACUGAGACUGCCCUGCUGUCGCUGAGACAGGCGAAAGCGGAAUCCAGAUCAUCUGUCCUGAUUCUGCUGGACCUUUCUACAGCCUGCAUCAUACCACGUUGGUGGAAUGACCUUCCCAACUCCAUACGUGAAGCUGACUCCCUUUCUGUCUUCAAACAACGGCUAAGAACACAUCUUAUCCAUGAGCACUUAACCAGUCACAAAAAAAUAAACAUUUUUUGUAGAACUUUAAUCACUUUACGUUACUAUUCUGAUGAUAGUGAAACUUUGUAAUAUGGCACUUUUUGUACCACUGGCUCCUUAAGAUGAUUUGCUUAUGUUUGCCUCUUUUGUAAGUCGCUUUGGAUAAAAGCGUCUGCCAAAUAUUUCAGCAGCCCUUGUCGCUCUCUCCGUUGGGCAUGAGUGGCUGUGUGGAAAAUUGCUUGCAUUAUAUCGUCGUGCCAGCAGUAGGUGAACUCGCCGUCGUCUUCAUACUGGUCAAGUCCACCCAAGAAAAUCAUCAUUUUGAUCAUAGUGUACCAGAGUAAAAUCAGUCUGGUAUGUGGACAGCAUAAAAAAUAUAGGUAUGAAAUUAUAGAUAUAAUAAUACAAUUAACAUAAAAAAUAUAGGUAAGUAUGAAAUUAUAGAUAUAAUAAUAGAAUUAACAUAAAAAAUAUAGAUAAUAAAAUAAAUAGAAAAUAUGUAAUAAAAAAAUAUAGAUAGAAUAAAUAUAAAAAAAAUAGAUAUUAAUAUAAAAAAAAUAUAGAUAUAAUAAUAAAAAAUUAAAAUAAUUAAAACUCCUUAAUUCAAAUCAGUAGACCUUUGAGCCUCUCUAAAGUUUGGGCCCAGAGAUCCCUUUUAGAUCUUUUGGUGUGCUCAUAUUCCGUCACUGUUGUUAAAAAAGGAGUCUCUCCUCCAGAAAAAUGUGGUCUGUAGCUUUUAGGAGGGGGGUUUCUGUCUGCCAUGCAUUUUAGUGUCACAUUGUCCCCUUCCUUAAAAGGACCAUGGGACAUUACCUGGAGACUGACCGCUCUCUCGGUUGGGCUUGACCGCUCUCUCGGUUGGGCAUGAGUGGUUAUGUGUAAUAUUUCUUGCAUUAUGUCAUCGUGCCAGCAGUAGGUGAAGAUAUUUUAGAUACUUUUCCUCAGUUUUUCGGUCACGGACUGGACAGGAUGCCCAUCCUAUGUCUCCAAGGUUAUAAUGGUCAGGAUUGGCCGCCUGUUCAUCCCACCCUUGCAACUACUGUUGCACAUAUAAUUAAGCAAUAUGGUGGUUCCCACUGAACUUUGGGGACUCGUAGGGCAAACUCACUAUGCCUUCUGGUGUGUAGGUCCUCAUGGUACUGGGCUCUCUGACUGCCCUCCACACGCAUGAGAUGACUGCUAAUGGGUCAUGGGAAUAACGCCACAGAUCGUGGGUCUGCAUCAUUUACGGUCGGAACUGGAUGCAGUGGAUGUUUUUGAAUAUCCUCAUUUGCUGAUUUAAUUUGACUGUUGCCAAUGUGGGGUUUCUUAUUGCAGCAGCCCUUGUCGCUCAUCGUGCCAGCACAAAAUAGAACAGCAGUCCUAUGCCAUUAUUUCUAGCAUCUAUCUUGCCCCAGGAUUCAUGAGGUUCCGCUCCCAGACCUCAUCAAAUUAUUGGCUUUCUAUUUUGUCUGCCAUGUCCUGUCUCUUUCUUUUGAGAGAAUCUAAUUUGCCGAAAACAGCACGUCCUCCACAAAGUCAUCGUGCCAGCAGUAGGGGAACUCGCCGUCAUCUCCAUACUGAUCAAGUCCACCUAGGAAAAUCAUCAUUUUGAUCAUAGUGUACCAGAGUAAAAUCAGUCUGGUAUGUGGACAGGAUGAAGACGGACACGUUUUCAUGUUUUCCAUCAGACUGAAAAAUGUGCAUCUCGUCCUGUUUCUUAAAAAUAUCAGUUUGAUCAGGGUGUGUGUGUAAAGCUCCAGUCCAGGUUUGCUGACACAUGUCAUCCUUAAUCUGUGGUCCAAUAUGUUUAGAUCCAUCGUUUGGGCCACCCCGGAAGACACAUUUAAAAUGAAUGCGUUUUUUUGCAUGGCAGGUAAGCGCGCUAAAUAACGCAACCCGAGAUACGCCCAUUUGAUUUUUACAUACAUCCAUGUGUAUUGGGCACUAGCCAAAAUCCGUAAUCUAAAUCAAACAAAAUGAAUAUAAAAAAUAUAGAUAUAAUAAAAAUUAAUAUACAAAAUUAAUAAAAAAUAGAUAAUAAAAUAAAUAUAAAAAAAUAAAAAAAAUAAAAAAAUUAACAUAAAAAAUAUAGGUAAGUAUGAAAUUAUAGAUAUAAUAAUACAGUUAACAUAAAAAAUAUAGGUAAAUAUGAAAUUAUAGAUAUAAUAAUACAAUUAAUAUAAAAAUGUAGAUAAAAUAAAUAGAAAAAAUGUAAUAUAAAACAUAUAGAUAUAAUAAAAAUUAAUAUAAAAAAUUAAUUAAAAAAAUAGAUAAUAAUAAAAUAAAUAUAUAUAAAAAAAAUAGAUAAUAAUAAAAUAAAUAUAAAAAAAAAUAAAACAAAUUAACAUAAAAAAAUAUAGGUAUGAAAUUAUAGGCUUUCCGGGCACAGAUGCUCUCUGAACUCCGGACGCUCCAGCAAAAGAGACCUCGCCUGAAGCUCUAUGAGUUCAGACACCCAGUUAAAUUCUUCCGGGUCGAAAGCCACAUUGGCUCUCCCAAAGAAGGCCGCCGUCUUGUGGUGCCUGACCGCCACCACCCUCUCGCCAUUGUCCAACGCGCUGGCCCCCCGGAACUCCUCCACGGUCAUGUUUACCAUGACGCACCGGCGGUGACCCAAGCUGAUGAUAAGGUACCCCGCUAUCAUUCCCUGAGCGACGCGGAAGUUGUUCGGGCUGGGCGACUCACGCAGUCGCUCCAGGAGAGCGGGCACCCUGUCCCGAGCUCACCGCCAGUAGCGCCUCAAGGUGGCCACGUCAAUGACCCACCUGGAACUGGCAGCCCGUGCGUCGCACCUGUGGACCACCAGCUCCGCUCUCAGAUGGGCCAUCUGCCGCUUGCAUACCCGCCGGAGCUGCCUCACGGCGGCAUCAGUGAAGUAUUCCCGCUUGUCGGUGUUGUCCUCUAUGAAGGAGCAGAAGAGGCGAAGGUCGAGCAGGUAGUGUCUGGCCAUGGUGACCGCGAGGCCCCUCUCCGCUAAUGCCUGUACCCACCCUCGCACCUCGUCCGGCAGCGAAAGGUCCGUGACGAACCACGCUCCCCCUUCCCGGCACACCACUCGAAGAACGCCGUGACCCGCUUUGCUUUCUUGGUGGCAUUGUCACGGCCCUUGGAGGACGGCCUGGUCCCCAGACAGGACAGCUUGAACGCCCGGAUCAGGCGAGCAAUGUCAGAGAGGUGGUCCGGGCCACGCGUCACGCUGGCGGCGUCUUCCCGCAUCAGAGCCCCGGUGCUUACGAUAUAAUACAAUUAACAUAAAAAAUAUAGGUAAUAAAAUAAAUAGAAAAAAUGUAAUAGAAAAAAUAUAGAUAUAAUGAAAAAAAAAUUAAAAUAAUGAAAACUUAAUUCAAAUCAGUAGACCUGGAUGCAGUGGUUGUUUUUGAAUAUCCUCAUUUGCUGAUUUAAUUUGACUGUUGCCAAUGAGGGGUUUCUUAUUGCAGCAGCCCUUGUCGCUCAUUGUGCCAGCACAAAAUAGAACAGCAGUCCUAUGCCAUUAUUUCUAGCAUCUAUCUUGCCCCAGGAUUCAUGAGGUUCCGCUCCCAGACCUCAUCAAAUUAUUGGCUUUCUGUUUUGUCUGCCAUGUCCUGUCUCUCACUUUUGAGAGAAUCUAAUUUGCCGACCUCAUCUCCCCAACGAUAAUCUUUCUGCUCUUGUAUGACUGUUGCUGCGAUGUGUUUGAAGACUCUCACACACAUGGCCAAAACAGCACAUCCUCCACAAAGUCAUCAUGCCAGCAGUAGGGGAACUCGCCAUCAUCUCCAUACUGAUCAAGUCCACCCAGGAAAAUCAUCAUUUUGAUCAUAAUGGGCAGGAGUCCUAUUCCAUUAUUUCUAGGUGUGGUAUUUGGGCGUUACGCAGCGUCCUUUGGACACUGGUUUUUUCAAAGUUAACGCUCCGCUCACAUUCUUGCAUGGGACAUCAUCUAUGUCUGAUUUAACACAUAGGAUGGCAUAGUGCUGCUUGAUUAACAAGAUCCAGCACAACAGGUGGUGCCCUUCCGUCAAUUCCCAGAUCGCAGGUCAUCAUCGUUUACGGUCAGAAUUACGACAUGAGGUUCCGCUACCAGAGCACAGCAGAUUCCUGACUUUCUAUCUUGUCUGCCAUGUCCUGUUUCAUGCAAGCAGGAGGUGACCUCGACCAUCAGUGGGUCCUCACCCAUGGGUUUAGGAUACGCUCAUUCCAAUUACAGGGCCUCGAAAGAGACCUGUAUUGUUAUUUUUCAUCACUCCCCGAGUCGGGAGUGUGUAAUUUGCGCGCCUGCUGCCUUCCUUGGAUGUGGUGGCCCUUCACUUGGAUUCUUAGAUACAGAGCCCAGGACAAAGACUUGCAGAGAAAAUUUAUUUGAAGUAAUAUAUCCAUAAUUUAGAAAUAUGUUAUUAGAUAUAUUUAAGGUAAAUGUGUACUAAUACAAAUACUGCUAUGACUAUAUGCCUUUAGUUAGAAUGGUUAAAUAUUAUUUUUCUAGGUCUCUUAAACAUAUCCUUCACGGUGUGUUAAGAGUUUAUAUAAAUUAUUUGACUUUUGAUAAAGUGUUUUAAAGAAAAAAGUGCACAAACAGAGAGCAUGAAGACAGCAUGUGUCUGUCUUCAUGCUCUCCACAUAUAAGACUGAUUUUAUUCUGGUCCACUAUGUGGAACGCCCACCUAUCUUGCACCAGAAUUCAUACUCCCCCGGAACCCAAAGACUCGUGGUUUUUGGGAAUAACACCACCGGAUUGAGGGGUCGGCAUCGUAUUCUUGGCAAAUGCUUUGGUCCGUCUUGCGCCGGUCCAAGAAUUUCACCUCGGCGCAAUAAGGCCACCAGAAAAUGUGAAAAAAAGUGUGGGAACAUCAAGAAACAGGUCUUCUCUUGGAUGAUGGUUCACCCUCUCCCUCUUGUGCCAUACGUUUCACGAUAAAUUAGUUGGAUUGUGGAGUUUAAUUAUAAUUGUAUUUAUUUAUCACACAUUAUACAAUUGCACAUAUACAGUGAAAUUCUUUUUUUACAUAUCCCAGCUAAGCUGGGGUCAGACUGCAGGGUCAGCCAUGAUAUGCCACCCCUGAAGCAGAUAGGGUCAACAGCCUUGCUCAAGGGGCCAACAGUGGCAUCUUGGCAGUGCUGGGGCUUGAAACCCUGACCUUCUGUUCAGCAACCCAGAGGCUUAACUGCUGAGCCAACAUUGCCCCAGUCUUUUAACACAGGACAAAGGCGGUGCAGUGACUGUAUGCGAAGAGAUCAUUAACGGCCACUAUCACUUCGUUCAUUCUUAGUGGAAGGUGGUUUCAAAUGAAGCCAAAGAUUUGAUCAAGAAGCUCUUAAAUGUGGAUCACCCAAAAAAAAAAAAACGAAAAAAACAUCAAGCAUCUGUGGUUAAAGGAUGGCGAGAUGAGAACUCAUGUGUAUAUAGUUUUGUAUUCAUGUUCCUUUUUUAUAUUUGUUUUGCAGUUGUGUUUUUAUAGUUAACAAGUUGUAUUGUUUGUUAAACAUGUUCUUUUGUUUUUAUUUUAUUAUAUUUUUUUUUGGCAGUUGUGUUUUACAAGGAUUGGCCGCAUGUUCAUCCCACCCUUGCAACUACUGUUGCACAUAUAGUUAAGCAAUAUGGUGGUUCCCACUGAACCCAGCUUUGGGGACUCGGCAGACAAAACAAAGUCAAGAAUCUGCUGUGUCCUGUUUCAUGCCAGCAGGAGGUGACCUCGACCAUCAGUGGGUCUUCACCCAUGGGUUUUUGGAUACGCUCCUUCCAAUUACAGGGCCUCGAAAGAGACCUGUAUUGUUAUUUUUUGUCACUCCCCGAGUCGGGAGUAAGUUACCAAUACCAAGUUGUGUUUAUAAAGUUUAUUAUUUUGGUUAAUCAAAGUCAUGUUCCUUGUUUUUAUUAUUUGUUUUUCAGUUAUGUUUUUAUAGUUAACAAGGUUUAUUUGUGUUAAUCAUGUUCUUUGAUUUUAAUUUUGUUUAGCAGUUAUAAAAAGGGAUAAUUUUCUAUCCGUUAAGUGGAACUUCAAUAAAUUGCCCUUGAAGGUC